CACCAGUUAUGGGCAAAGUAUAAGCACUUAUACCGUGAAACUGCGAAUGGCUCAUUAAAUCAGUUAUCGUUUAUUUGAUAGUACCUUACUACAUGGAUAACCGUGGUAAUUCUAGAGCUAAUACAUGCUAAAAACCUCGACUUCGGAAGGGGUGUAUUUAUUAGAUAAAAAACCAAUGCCCUCCGGGGCUCCUUGGUGAUUCAUAAUAACUUAACGAAUCGCAUGGCCUUGCGCCGGCGAUGGUUCAUUCAAAUUUCUGCCCUAUCAACUUUCGAUGGUAGGAUAGUGGCCUACCAUGGUAUCAACGGGUAACGGGGAAUUAGGUAUGUUCAUUAUCCAUCUUACUCCACUAUAUAUAAAUGCUAACAUAAUUAUUUUAGGGUUCGAUUCCGGAGAGGGAGCCUGAGAAACGGCUACCACAUCCAAGGAAGGCAGCAGGCGCGCAAAUUACCCAAUCCCGAUUCGGGGAGGUAGUGACAAUAAAUACUGAUACAGGGCUCUUUUGGGUCUUGUAAUUGGAAUGAGUACAAUUUAAAUCUCUUAACGAGGAACAACUGGAGGGCAAGUCUGGUGAACUUUGCAACAGUUUCUUAAAAAUCUGCUGUGCGCCAGAGAUAGUAGGGCUUUUUCUCUCUCUAAUUGAGGGGGGGAGGAGGUUAUGCCUACUAGUCGAGUAUCCAUAACAGUGAUGGGUGGAUACCGGCGAGGUGACCUGGUACGGGGAAGCCUAAGGGCCUAAACAGUCUAUGGUAAUCCCGUGGCGAGCCGCUUUUUUAAUAAAAGUAGCCGUCGUAACGCGCGGAAAGGCACCGGUUAUCAUUCUUUAUAAUGGUAGCUCAAGGGACGUGCUGUCCCAUCCGAAAGGAUGCCUCAAACUAGAGCACCCAUCGUGUAAAGGUUUGAGGGGGUUUUGUUGCUAAAACCUGGAUUAUAUUCUUAAAUGAAUAUAAUAAUUAAAACGGCCAGCAGCCGCGGUAAUUCCAGCUCCAGUAGCG
rnacentral:rRNA from 1 species